CCUGACCGUUUUAUAGAGGUUCGGGUGGAGGGCACAGAGGUAGCUGGAUCGGCGGAGGUACGAGCACGUAGGAGAGCGCAGUUACCGCGGGUUUGGAGGAGUAGAGCCUAGGGCACCCUGACUCCACACCCGUACCUCCGCUCGUAGGGAUCGCCGGCGCCGCUGGAUGUCCGUUUCCCAUUGCCGCCGCCGCCGCGAACUAAUCUAGACGCCCUCUCUCUCUCUACUACUCUCCCUCUCUAUUCCUUCUUCUACUCUCCCUCUCUCUCUCUCUCUCUCUCCUUUCCCCUCUCCUUCCCGAAGAUGCAGUGGCGAGAGACCUACGUGCGGUAGGUGGGCGCGUGCGAGCGGUGGUUGGAGCGGCCGAAGCGGUCCAAGCCGAUGGAGUUCCUGGAGGGACUCUAGGAGAUAGCAAAGGAGGUGCUGGGGGCGCUACUCGCGUUCCUGGUCCUACUGCAGUGGCGCCGCCGGGGCCCCCGUUCUUUCCGUUCGCCGUUCGGUGCGACGCAGCUGCCGGAACGGCGGUGGCGCUGACUCCGGCGGUUCCGGGCCGCGCUCUUCCUCCGCCUCGUGCGCGUCCGGCACGAGCGCGCAAUACUGAGACUACUCCGGAAAGUGUUGGAGAUGAUGCCGCAGCGGUUGGAGAAGCAGACCGACGAGUUCAGCCCGGACCUCGUGGACGCGCGCCCGCUGUGCCGGUUCUAGCACAAGCGGCGGUUCACGCGAGCAGCAUGCGUAUCCAGAGGAAACGCGGUACCCACGGCGACCGACUCCUACCUCGUCGUCCGUACCUUCUUUAGAUGUCGGUUAAAGAGAACCGACGCGGUAGAAGGCGACUGUUGUUGAGAUGUGUUGUCGGACGAUUCCACGUGGUCCUCUUCAGACUACUAUUCCGACUUCGAGAAAGUAGAAGACAACUUCCUUUCUUACUAUUCCUACUGGUCCCCAUCUACUGGUUUUCUUUCCCCCGACCCUGUCGUUUCUUUAGUUCCGUCAAUGAUGAGACGCGGUAGAUACGUCUCUAAUUAAUGGAUAUCUUUUCUUAUGGAAAUAGGACUAUCCGUACCUUUGUGGCGAAGUGUAACUCACGUAGUAGCGAUUAGUUGAUGAUAACCUCUCGUUCCCUGUAUAUUCUUUAGAGGUCCGUCGAAGCGAAUCUACGUAGUAGAAGACGAUCCUGGAUCCUCAAUCGAACUUCUUGCUGGAAGAGUCCUCUGACGUUGACUGUACGACCUACCACUUAUUGGUUUAAACACCUGUUUCUGUUUCUCAAGUAGCGUUCCCUACCACAAAUCCUAUAUAUAUGUGUUUUCUCCUUUGAAAGAAAACAUGUCUUGGUUUAAUAUACUACAUUAACUGGUGAUAAAUAUUCUUUACAAGCGGCACAUAAUUCAUGUAAAAUAACACAGUGAAAAAAACUCCCCAUCGAAAUAAGUAGUUUGUGGUGUUUCACACGUUACCUCAAGUAGUUUGGUCCGAAAUAACACAGUUGAUACAAAUGGAAGAAAAAAUGACACAGCGGA
rnacentral:rRNA from 1 species